UACGUAGGGACCAAGCGCUGUUCGGAUUUACUGGGCGUAAAGGGCGCGUAGGCGGCAUAUUAAGUCAGCUGUGAAAUCUCCGAGCUUAACUCGGAACUGUCAGCUGAUACUGAUGUGCUAGAGUGCAGAAGGGGCAAUCGGAAUUCUUGGUGUAGCGGUGAAAUGCGUAGAUAUCAAGAGGAACACCUGAGGUGAAGACGGGUUGCUGGGCUGACACUGACGCUGAGUGCGCGAAAGCCAGGGGAGCAAACGGG
rnacentral:rRNA from 1 species